rnacentral:rRNA from 1 species
CCUACGGGAGGCAGCAGUGGGGAAUAUUGCACAAUGGGGGAAACCCUGAUGCAGCGACGCCGCGUGAGUGAAGAAGGUAUUCGGUACGUAAAGCUCUAUUUGUAGGGAAGAAAAUGAGGGUACCUGAGUACGAAGCCCCGUCUAACUACGAGCCAGCAGCCGCGGUAAUACGUAGGGGGCAGGCGUUAUCCGGAUUGACUGGGGGUAAAGGGAGCGUAGGCGGUUUGCCAAGUCUGGUGUGAAAUGCCGUGGCUUAACCGCGGAACUGCUUUGGAAACUGGCGAACUAGAGUGCGGGAGGGGUGAGCGGAAUUCCUGGUGUAGCGGUGAAAUGCGUAGAUAUUAGGAGGAACACCGGUGGCGAAGGCGGCUUACUGGACUGUAACUGACGUUGAGGCUCGAAAGCGUGGGGAGCAAACAGGAUUAGAUACCCUAGUAGUC